rnacentral:rRNA from 1 species
GUAGUUGACGUCCGUGGCUACGAGACGACGCUGGCGGCGUGCUUAACACAUGCAAGUCGAACGGUAAGGCCCCUUCGGGGGUACACGAGUGGCGAACGGGUGAGUAACACGUGAGUAACCUGCCCAUGACUUUGGGAUAACUCCAGGAAACUGGUGCUAAUACCGGAUAUGAGCUUCCGCUGCAUGGCGGGGGUUGGAAAGCUCCGGCGGUUGUGGAUGGACUCGCGGCCUAUCAGCUUGUUGGUGAGGUAGUGGCUCACCAAGGCGUCGACGGGUAGCCGGCCUGAGAGGGCGACCGGCCACAUUGGGACUGAGAUACGGCCCAGACUCCUACGGGAGGCAGCAGUGGGGAAUAUUGCACAAUGGGCGCAAGCCUGAUGCAGCAACGCCGCGUGCGGGAUGACGGCCUUCGGGUUGUAAACCGCUUUCACCGGGGACGAAGGUUUUCUGACGGUACCCGGAGAAGAAGCACCGGCUAACUACGUG